rnacentral:rRNA from 1 species
ACUCCUACGGGAGGCAGCAGUAGGGAAUAUUGGUCAAUGGGCGAAAGCCUGAACCAGCCAUGCCGCGUGUCAGAUGAAGGUCCUCUGGAUUGUAAAAUGACUUUUCUACGGGAAGAAUGAGCCGUCUGCGGACGGAAGUUGACGGUACCGUAGGAAUAAGCACCGGCUAACUACGUGCCAGCAGCCGCGGUAAUACGUAGGGGUGCAAGCGUUGUCCGGAUUUACUGGGUUUAAAGGGUACGUAGGCGGUUGUGCCAAGUCUGGGGUGAAAGUUUGCAGCUCAACUGUAAAAUUGCCUUGGAUACUGGUCGGCUAGAGUAGUGGAGCGGUGGCUGGAAUUUAUAGUGUAGCGGUGAAAUGCUUAGAUACUAUGAGGAACACCAAUUGCGAAGGCAGGUCACUGGUCACUAACUGACGCUGAGGUACGAAAGUGUGGGGAUCAAACAGGAUUAGAUACCCUGGUAGGAUAGCG